AAAAAUCAUAACAGGGCUAGGAUGAAGUGAUGUAUUUCCUAUUGCUAGAAUUAUGUAUAUUGCAGCUUUUUUUAGUUUAAAGUUCUAAACUUAUAUAUCGUAUCUACGAGCUUUUAAGAAAUUGGAACUUUGGAAUAAACGAGAAAGUAUUUAGCUCUAAUGUACAUUUAGAGAUCUGCAUCAUUCUUUUACAAUUUUACGUAGGGAGGAAAAAAAAUCGCCGGAAACGAACAUUCAGAUAUCACCGUAGACUCGUCCGAUAUCCGAAUUGAGAGGGGUGGGUCGGUUGGGUUAUUUGGUACCGAAAGUAGGAGCGUACUGAUGUCAUUGUUCUGGAUUGUCAUGGGUCAGCUUGCAGCAGCGGACGAAGAAAUGUCCACAUCAAAGAAAGUGAUUACGAGGGAAGAGUGGGAGAAAAAGCUCAAUGAUGUAAAGGUUAAGAAAGAAGAUAUGAAUAAGCUGGUGAUGAACUUUCUUGUUACAGAAGGUUAUGUUGAAGCUGCAGAGAAAUUUAGAAUGGAGUCAGGCACUGAACCAGACAUAGAUUUGGCAACCAUAACAGAUCGAAUGGCAGUAAAAAAGGCAGUGCAGUGUGGGAAUGUAGAGGAUGCAAUUGAGAAAGUUAAUGACUUAAAUCCUGAGAUACUGGAUACAAAUCCCCAAUUAUUUUUCCAUCUGCAACAGCAAAGGCUGAUAGAACUUAUUCGCAAUGGAAAAGUAGAAGAAGCUUUGGAAUUUGCUCAGGAGGAGCUGGCACCAAGGGGUGAAGAAAAUCAAAGCUUCUUAGAAGAGUUGGAGAGGACAGUUGCCUUAUUGGCAUUUGAAGAUGUCUCCAAUUGUCCAGUUGGAGAGCUUCUGGACAUAUCACAGCGUCUGAAGACAGCUAGUGAGGUCAAUGCAGCCAUUCUCACUAGCCAGAGUCAUGAAAAAGACCCGAAGCUUCCAAGCUUGUUAAAGAUGCUCAUCUGGGCACAGAACCAGCUUGAUGAGAAGGCUGUUUAUCCACGGAUAAACAAUUUAUCCACUGCUGCGCUUGAGGAUCCUGCUAUUUAAGGGACAUAAAAGCUCCUUGUGUGAAGGACCCAGAGAAAGAGAUAUCAGAACUCUUUAGUGGGGGAAAGCUAUUCUAUUUUGUGAUUUUUUCAUCAAAUUCCACAUUAAUCCCAGUAAUCAACUUGGUCUGAUGCAAGUACCUACAUUCCAAUAUCAAGGAUGCUCUAUCCCGCAGUUUUCGUACUGCAUCGAGCUUCUCAGCAUCGAUUUCUGAGAAGGCUGAACGAGUAUCGUCUUAGAUGGUCAGUGGAAGUCUUUAUUUCCAUAGAAUCGCUUGGUUAGGGCUCCGAUAAUGUAAAGUAAUUGACAGUUUGAAAGAGACGUGCUUGUUUGAUGGUUAGGUGCAUCGAAACCGUCAGAAAUAUAUAAAUGAUAAAGGAAGAUUCUUUACUUUAAUAGGACUCUCAAAAUGUGUGCCUGCUUGAUAUUUCAUAUUUUCUGCUUAUGCAUCGAUCAAGGUGGUUAUUUGUGAUGCAGUUCCAAUUUCUGACUUGUCAAAGAACAUUUAUGGGGCCUAUGUAAUAGCAAUUGAAGAGUUAUACA